rnacentral:rRNA from 1 species
GACGAACGCUGGCGGCGUGCUUAACACAUGCAAGUCGAACGGAAAGGCCCUGCUUUUGUGGGGUGCUCGAGUGGCGAACGGGUGAGUAACACGUGAGUAACCUGCCCUUGACUUUGGGAUAACUUCAGGAAACUGGGGCUAAUACCGGAUAGGAGCUCCUGCUGCAUGGUGGGGGUUGGAAAGUUUCGGCGGUUGGGGAUGGACUCGCAGCUUAUCAGCUUGUUGGUGGGGUAGUGGCUUACCAAGGCUUUGACGGGUAGCCGGCCUGAGAGGGUGACCGGCCACAAUGGGACUGAGAUACGGCGCAGACGCCUACGGGAGGCAGCAGGGGGGAGUAUUGCACAAUAGGCGGAAGCCUGAGGUGACAACGCUGCGUGCGGGAAGACGGCCUUUGGGUUGUAAACCGCUUUCGCCUGUGACGAAGCGUGAGUGACGGUAAUGGGUAAAGAAGCAACGGCUAACUACGUG